UACGGGGGGGGCAAGCGUUGUUCGGAAUUACUGGGCGUAAAGGGUUCGUAGGUGGCUUGCUAAGUCAGACGUGAAAUCCCUCAGCUUAACUGGGGAACUGCGUCUGAGACUGGCCGGCUUGAGUGCAGGAGAGGAACGCGGAAUUCCAGGUGUAGCGGUGAAAUGCGUAGAUAUCUGGAGGAACACCGGUGGCGAAGGCGGCGUUCUGGACUGCUACUGACACUGAGGAACGAAAGCCAGGGGAGCAAACGGGAUUAGAAACCCCUGUAGUCC
rnacentral:rRNA from 1 species